CACAUGCAAGUCGAACGAGAAAGGCGAAUUUCGGUUUGCCGAGUAAAGUGGCGUACGGGUGAAGUAACGCGUAGGCAACCUGCCCAUGUGCUUGGGAUAACAGAGCGAAAGUUCUGCUAAUACCGGAUACGAUCAUUGAUCGAGAGGUUGAUGAUGAAAGUCUGCCACUCGGAGAAGCAGACGCACAUGGAGGGGCCUGCGUCCUAUCAGCUAGUUGGUAGGGUAACGGCCUACCAAGGCGACGACGGGUAGCUGGUCUGAGAGGAUGAUCAGCCACACUGGCACUGGAACACGGGCCAGACUCCUACGGGAGGCAGCAGUGAGGAAUUUUGCGCAAUGGCCGCAAGGCUGACGCAGCAACGCCGCGUGGGUGAUGAAGGCCUUCGGGUCGUAAAGCCCUGUCAGGUGGGAAGAAAGUCACGAGGUCGAAUAGGCUUUGUGUUUGACGGUACCACCAGAGGAAGCACCGGCUAACUCCGUG
rnacentral:rRNA from 1 species